CCUACGGGUGGCUGCAGUGAGGAAUAUUGGUCAAUGGACGAAAGUCUGAACCAGCCAUGCCGCGUGCAGGAUGAAUGCCCUAUGGGUUGUAAACUGCUUUUAUAUAGGAAUAAACCCCUUUACGUGUAAAGGGCUGAAGGUACUAUAAGAAUAAGGACCGGCUAACUCCGUGCCAGCAGCCGCGGUAAUACGGAGGGUCCAAGCGUUAUUCGGAUUUAUGGGGUUUAAAGGGUAAGCAGGCGGAAAAGGUGAAAUCCUAUCGCUUAACGUUAGAACUGCCAUUGAUACUGUUUUUCUUGAGUAUACUUGAAGUGGGCGGAAUGUGUCAUGUAGCGGUGAAAUGCAUAGAUAUGACACAGAACACCGAUUGCGAAGGCAGCUCACUAAAUUAUAACUGACGCUCAUGGACGAAAGCGUGGGGAGCAAACAGGAUUAGAUACCCGGGUAGUC
rnacentral:rRNA from 1 species